rnacentral:rRNA from 1 species
AGAGUUUGAUCCUGGCUCAGAACAAACGCUGGCGGCGUGCCUAACACAUGCAAGUCGAACGAGAAAUCCCGAGCUUGCUUGGGAGAGUAAAGUGGCGCACGGGUGAGUAACGCGUGGGUAACCUACCUUUGAAUCUGGAAUAACCCACCGAAAGGUGGACUAAUACCGGAUAUGGUUUUUUAGGCUUUGGUCUUUUAAAUUAAAGGUGACCUCUUCAUGAAAGUUGCCGUUCAUAGAUGGGCCCGCGUACCAUUAGCUAGUUGGUGGGGUAAUGGCCUACCAAGGCGACGAUGGUUAGCUGGUCUGAGAGGAUGAUCAGCCACACUGGAACUGGAACACGGUCCAGACUCCUACGGGAGGCAGCAGUGAGGAAUUUUGCGCAAUGGGGGAAACCCUGACGCAGCAACGCCGCGUGAGCGAAGAAGGCCCUCGGGUCGUAAAGCUCUGUCAAGUGGGAAAAAAAUCUUUUGAUCAAUAGUCAAAAGACUUGAUGGUACCACUGGAGGAAGCACCGGCUAACUCCGUGCCAGCAGCCGCGGUAAUACGGAGGGUGCAAGCGUUGUUCGGAUUUACUGGGCGUAAAGAGCGUGUAGGCGGUUUAGCAAGUCAGAUGUGAAAGCCCCGGGCUUAACCCGGGAAGUGCAUUUGAAAC